GCUAUAGACAGAGAGGGGGUAAAAGAUUAAAAAUACCAACAACAACAAGUGACGGAGAGCAGCUGAGGACAGACAGGAAGUAAAUAAUAGAGAGAUAGUCGUAGGAAGAUCAGAAAAGAGAGAAAGGCUGAGAUUGAAGCUCUGCGGCUGCAGGUGGAGGUCUGUCACCUCUGAACUUCUGAAGGGAGGCACGCUGAGGCUGAGAAUUAAGACUCUGACAGAGACCAAGAGGACGGCCAUGUUUUCAGCCAGACCAGAGAUCCAGCCGUAAAAGACAA